rnacentral:rRNA from 1 species
UACGGAGGGGGCUAGCGUUGUUCGGAAUUACUGGGCGUAAAGCGCACGUAGGCGGCUUUGUAAGUUAGAGGUGAAAGCCCGGGGCUCAACUCCGGAAUUGCCUUUAAGACUGCAUCGCUAGAAUUGUGGAGAGGUAAGUGGAAUUCCGGGUGUAGAGGUGAAAUUCGUAGAUAUUCGGAAGAACACCAGUGGCGAAGGCGACUUACUGGACACAUAUUGACGCUGAGGUGCGAAAGCGUGGGGAGCAAACAGG